GGUGGCUCUCGACGGGGCGUGGCGGCGGCCGCGCCCACGCGAAAUGCGUCGUGACCGCCGUGAGCUCCGGAAAGAAGCAGCC
rnacentral:SRP_RNA from 13 species